UACGGGGGGGGCAAGCGUUGUUCGGAAUUACUGGGCGUAAAGGGCUCGUAGGCGGCCAACUAAGUCAUACGUGAAAUCCCUCGGCUUAACCGGGGAACUGCGUCUGAUACUGGAUGGCUUGAGAUUGGGAGAGGGAUGCGGAAUUCCAGGUGUAGCGGUGAAAUGCGUAGAGAUGUGGAGGAAUACCGAUGGCGAAGGCAGCCCCCUGGGCCAAUACUGACGCUCAUGCACGAAAGCGUGGGGAGCAAACAGG
rnacentral:rRNA from 1 species